GUCAGUAACCCAGCCCUAAAGGGACUGAGCUUGCAAUUUCUUGCAAGCUGUACUGACCAGACCACCCUAAGGGUAGUCUAAGGGUAGCCGUUAUUUGAGUCACGACACCUCGAAAUGCGUAGCCAGUUUCCCGCUCUGUCGCUGUAAGUUAAACAGUUCUAAGGUCACUGGAACAGUGCUUUCAGCCUAACAAGCUCUUAUAACAGGUCAAGGCUAACAUUAC
rfam:Anabaena sp. 90 chromosome chANA01, complete sequence.